rnacentral:rRNA from 1 species
UACGAAGGGGGCUAGCGUUGCUCGGAAUCACUGGGCGUAAAGCGCACGUAGGCGGGUUCUUAAGUCAGGGGUGAGAUCCUGGAGCUCAACUCCAGAACUGCCUUUGAUACUGGGAAUCUCGAGUCCGGGAGAGGUGAGUGGAACUGCGAGUGUAGAGGUGAAAUUCGUAGAUAUUCGCAAGAACACCAGUGGCGAAGGCGGCUCACUGGCCCGGUACUGACGCUGAGGUGCGAAAGCGUGGGGAGCAAACAGG